GCCAUGUCGGUCGCUCGCCCGCCCCGCAGCAAGUGCGGCGGCCCCACCUCCGCGCACUAGCUCCUCACUUCCGCCCUCGCGGGCCGAUCUGCUCAUGCGCAAGACCGCGCGGCAGGACGCACGCGCGCCUAGUGGACUCUCAGUGUGAGGGAAGCGCGCCCAUCCCUAGUGCGCAUGACAGAAAAGCGGUCUCCGCUCGCCGCCUGUUGUGCCCCGGUGUUGCUGGGCAGGAAAAAAAAAGGGCGGGGGGCGUGGUGUAGAAAGUGGGCGGGGCGUCGGAGAGGAAGGCUUUUCAAAGUAAUGCGUCAGGAUUUGGCGCCAACUGAUUGUCAUUUCAUACCUACACUACCGUAGUUUCCGAUUAAAUGCCCUUCAGAGUUUU